rnacentral:rRNA from 1 species
GUAGGUGGCAAGCGUUGUCCGGAAUUAUUGGGCGUAAAGCGCGCGCAGGCGGUUCUUUAAGUCUGAUGUGAAAGCCCACGGCUCAACCGUGGAGGGUCAUUGGAAACUGGAGAACUUGAGUACAGAAGAGGAAAGCGGAAUUCCACGUGUAGCGGUGAAAUGCGUAGAGAUGUGGAGGAACACCAGUGGCGAAGGCGGCUUUCUGGUCUGUAACUGACGCUGAGGCGCGAAAGCGUGGGGAGCAAACAGGAUUAGAUACCCUGGUAGUCCACGCCGUAAACGAUGAGUGCUAAGUGUUAGGGGGUUUCCGCCCCCCUUAGUGCUGCAGCUUACGCAUUAAGCACUCCGCCUGGGAGUACGGCCGCAAGGCUG